UACGAAGGGGGCUAGCGUUGUUCGGAAUUACUGGGCGUAAAGGGCGCGUAGGCGGCCAACUAAGUUAGGCGUGAAAGCCCAGGGCUCAACUCUGGAAUUGCGCUUAAUACUGGUAGGCUUGAGUACGGGAGAGGAUAGUGGAAUUCCCAGUGUAGAGGUGAAAUUCGUAGAUAUUGGGAAGAACACCAGUGGCGAAGGCGGCUAUCUGGACCGUAACUGACGCUGAGGCGCGAAAGCGUGGGGAGCAAACAGG
rnacentral:rRNA from 1 species